rnacentral:rRNA from 1 species
AGUGAACGCUGGCGGUAGGCCUAACACAUGCGAGUCGAACGGCAGCACAGUAAGAGCUUGCUCUUACGGGUGGCGAGUGGCGGACGGGUGAGGAAUACAUCGGAAUCUACUUUUUCGUGGGGGAUAACGUAGGGAAACUUACGCUAAUACCGCAUACGACCUACGGGUGAAAGCAGGGGAUCUUCGGACCUUGCGCGAUUGAAUGAGCCGAUGUCGGAUUAGCUAGUUGGCGGGGUAAAGGCCCACCAAGGCGACGAUCCGUAGCUGGUCUGAGAGGAUGAUCAGCCACACUGGAAAUGAGACACGGUCCAGACUCCUGCAGGAGACAGCAGUGGGGAGUAUUGGACAAUAGGCGCAAGCCUGAUCAAGCCAUACCGCAUGGGUGAAGAAGGCCUUCGGGUUGUAAAGCCCUUUUGUUGGGAAAGAAAAGCAGCAGGUUAAUACCCCGCUGUUCUGACGGUACCCAAAGAAUAAGCACCGGCUAACUUCGUG